rnacentral:rRNA from 1 species
GUGCCAGCCGCCGCGGUAAUACGGAGGGUGCAAGCGUUGUCCGGAAUCACUGGGCGUAAAGGGCGCGUAGACGGUCUGCUAAGUCCGAUGUUAAAGACCGGGGCUCAACCCCGACACGGCGUUGGAUACUGGCAGGCUUGACGACUGGAGAGGCAAGUGGAAUUACCAGUGUAGCGGUGGAAUGCGUAGAUACUGGUAGGAACACCCAUUGCGAAGGCAGCUUGCUGGACAGUGCGUGACGCUGAGGCGCGAAAGUGUGGGGAGCAAACCGGAUUAGAUACCCGGGUAGUC